rnacentral:hammerhead_ribozyme from 1 species
AUCCACCUGAUGAGUCCCAAAUAGGAUGAAACACGUGUCCUGGAU